rnacentral:rRNA from 1 species
UACAGAGACUGCAAGCGUUAUUCGGAUUCACUGGGCGUAAAGGGUGCGCAGGCAGUUGGGUGUGUCAGAUGUGAAAUCCCGAGGCUCAACCUCGGAACUGCGUCUGAAACUACUCGACUAGAGUACUGGAGAGGGUAACGGAAUUCACGGUGUAGCAGUGAAAUGCGUAGAUAUCGUGAGGAACACCAGAGGCGAAGGCGGUUACCUGGACAGUUACUGACGCUCAGGCACGAAAGCAUGGGGAGCAAAAGGG